rnacentral:rRNA from 1 species
AUGUACAUUCUUACAACAUAGCGUUAAUGCACCGGAUCCCAUUACAACUCCACAGUUAAACAUUCUCAAGCUAGAGUAGUAAUGGGAUGGGUCCCCACCCGAGAAGUCCUAGUAUUUUACAUG